AUUGAACGCUGGCGGCAUGCCUUACACAUGCAAGUCGAACGGCAGCACGGACUUCGGUCUGGUGGCGAGUGGCGAACGGGUGAGUAAUGCAUCGGAACGUGCCAUUGAGUGGGGGAUAACGUAGCGAAAGUUGCGCUAAUACCGCAUAUUCUGUGAGCAGGAAAGCAGGGGACCGCAAGGCCUUGCGCUCUUUGAGCGGCCGAUGUCAGAUUAGCUAGUUGGUGAGGUAAAGGCUUACCAAGGCGACGAUCUGUAGCGGGUCUGAGAGGAUGAUCCGCCACACUGGAACUGAGACACGGUCCAGACUCCUACGGGAGGCAGCAGUGGGGAAUUUUGGACAAUGGGCGAAAGCCUGAUCCAGCCAUGCCGCGUGAGUGAAGAAGGCCUCGGUUGUAAG
rnacentral:rRNA from 1 species